rnacentral:rRNA from 1 species
GGAUUAUGGCUCAGAUUGAACGCUGGCGGCAGGCCUAACACAUGCAAGUCGAGCGGAUGACGGGAGCUUGCUCCUUGAUUCAGCGGCGGACGGGUGAGUAAUGCCUAGGAAUCUGCCUGGUAGUGGGGGACAACGUUUCGAAAGGAACGCUAAUACCGCAUACGUCCUACGGGAGAAAGCAGGGGACCUUCGGGCCUUGCGCUAUCAGAUGAGCCUAGGUCGGAUUAGCUAGUUGGUGGGGUAAUGGCUCACCAAGGCGACGAUCCGUAACUGGUCUGAGAGGAUGAUCAGUCACACUGGAACUGAGACACGGUCCAGACUCCUACGGGAGGCAGCAGUGGGGAAUAUUGGACAAUGGGCGAAAGCCUGAUCCAGCCAUGCCGCGUGUGUGAAGAAGGUCUUCGGAUUGUAAAGCACUUUAAGUUGGGAGGAAGGGCAGUAAGYUAAUACCUUGCUGUUUUGACGUUACCGACAGAAUAAGCACCGGCUAACUCUGUGCCAGCAGCCGCGGUAAUACAGAGGGUGCAAGCGUUAAUCGGAAUUACUGGGCGUAAAGCGCGCGUAGGUGGUUUGUUAAGUUGGAUGUGAAAGCCCCGGGCUCAACCUGGGAACUGCAUCCAAAACUGGCAAGCUAGAGUACGGUAGAGGGUGGUGGAAUUUCCUGUGUAGCGGUGAAAUGCGUAGAUAUAGGAAGGAACACCAGUGGCGAAGGCGACCACCUGGACUGAUAC